rnacentral:rRNA from 1 species
AAUACAUGGGAAUCUACCUCAAACUCGAGAAUAGCCCAUCGAAAGGUGGUGUAAUACUCGAUAGUUCCGUUUACGGUAAAGCUCCGGCGGUUUGAGAUGAGCCCAUGUCCUAUCAGGUUGUUGGUAGGGUAAUUGCCUACCAAGCCUAUGACGGGUAGCUGGUUUGAGAGGAUGAUCAGCCAGACUGGGACUGCGAUACGGCCCAGACUCCUACGGGAGGCAGCAACUAGGAAUCAUGCGCAAUGGACGAAAGUCUGACGCUGCGACGUCGCGUGAGGGAUGAAGGUCUUCGGAUCGUAAACCUCUUUUAUCUGGGAACAAGUUCUGAGUGUACCAGAUGAAUAAGUGCCUGCCAACCACGUGCCAGAAGCAUCGGUAAUGCGUGGGGCACGAGCGUUAUCCGGAUUUACUGGGCGUAAAGAGAUGCGUAGGCGCCUUUUUAAGUCACUUGUAAAAUCUCCCCGCUCAACGGGGAAACUGCAAGUGAUACUGAAUUGGUUGAGUCAAGUAGAGGAGAGGGGAAUUCCUGGUGGAGCGGUUAAAUGCGUUGAUAUCAGGAGGAAUACCAAGUGCGAAGGCACCUCUCUGGACUUGUACUGACGCUAAGGCUCGAAAGUGUGGGGAGCAAAACGGAUUAGAUACCCGUGUAGUCCACACUGUAAACGAUCCCUGCUAGAUGUUUG